UUCCGGUUGAUCCCGCCGGACCUGACUGCUAUCGGAUUGAUACUAAGCCAUGCGAGUCUUUGUAGUAAUACAAGGCAUACGGCUCAGUAACGCGUAGUCAACCUACCCUAUGGACAAGAAUAAUCUCGGGAAACUGAGCAUAAUUCUUGAUAGAUCAUAAUGCCUGGAAUGGUUUAUGGUUAAAAUGAUUCGUCGCCAUAGGAUGGGACUGCGGCCUAUCAGCUUGUUGGUGAGGUAAUGGCCCACCAAGGCGAUUACAGGUACGGGCUCUGAGAGGAGAAGCCCGGAGAUGGGUACUGAGACAAGGACCCAGGCCCUAUGGGGCGCAGCAGGCGAGAAAACUUUGCAAUGUGCGAAAGCACGACAAGGUUAAUCCGAGUGAUUUCUGCUAAAGAAAUCUUUUGCCAGUCAUAAAACCACUGGUGAAUAAGGGGUGGGCAAGUUCUGGUGUCAGCCGCCGCGGUAAAACCAGCACCUCAAGUGGUCAGGAUGAUUAUUGGGCCUAAAGCAUCCGUAGCCGGCUUUGUUAGUUUUCGGUUAAAUCCAUGUGCUCAACGCAUGGGCUGCCGAAAAUACUGCAUAGCUAGGGAGUGGGAGAGGUAGACGGUACUCAGUAGGAAGGGGUAAAAUCCUUUGAUCUAUUGAUGACCACCUGUGGCGAAGGCGGUCUACCAGAACACGUUCGACGGUGAGGGAUGAAAGCUGGGGGAGCAAACCGGAUUAGAUACCCGGGUAGUCCCAGCUGUAAACGAUGCAGACUCGAUGAUGCAUUGGCAUAAUAGCCAAUGCAGUGUCGCAGGGAAGCCGUUAAGUCUGCCGCCUGGGAAGUACGUACGCAAGUAUGAAACUUAAAGGAAUUGGCGGGGGAGCACCACAAGGGGUGAAGCCUGCGGUUCAAUUGGAUUCAACGCCGG
rnacentral:rRNA from 1 species